rnacentral:rRNA from 1 species
AGUGAACGCUGGCGGUAGGCCUAACACAUGCAAGUCGAACGGCAGCACAGUAAGAGCUUGCUCUUACGGGUGGCGAGUGGCGGACGGGUGAGGAAUACAUCGGAAUCUACUUUUUCGUGGGGGAUAACGUAGGGAAACUUACGCUAAUACCGCAUACGACCUACGGGUGAAAGCAGGGGAUCUUCGGACCUUGCGCGAUUGAAUGAGCCGAUGUCGGAUUGGCUAGUUGGCGGGGUAAAGGCCCACCAAGGCGACGAUCCGUAGCUGGUCUGAGAGGAUGAACGGCGACACUGAAGCUGAGACACGGUCCGGACUCGUACGGAAGGCGGCAGUGGGGAGUAUUGAACAAUGGGCGAAAGCCUGAUCAAGCAAUACCGCGUGGGUGAAGAAGGCCUUGGGGUUGUAAAGCCCUUUUGUGGGGAAAGAAAAGCAGCAGGUUAAGCCCCCGCUGUUCGGAGGGUACCCAAAGAAUAAGCACCGGCUACCUUCGU